UUGGACGGUCAAAGCGGCGUGGUCCUACCCGAACCCAUUUCGAACUCGGAAGUCAAGCGCGCCUACGUUUUGCAUUGUACUGCGC
rnacentral:rRNA from 1 species